rnacentral:rRNA from 1 species
UAGGCGUAAAUGAUGCGAGUUAAGUGUGGGGGCAUCUACGAGAUGGCCCUGUGCUGUAGGGUAGCCGUUAAACUCGCUGCCUGGGGAGUACGGUCGCAAGGCUGAAACUUAAAGGAAUUGGCGGGGGGAGGCACCACAACGGGUGGAGCCUGCGGUUUAAUUGGACUCAACGCCGGGAAGCUCACCGGAUAAGACAGCGGAAUGAUUGCCGGGCUGAAGACCCUGCUUGACAAGCUGAGAGGUGGUGCAUGGCGUGUGACUG